CUUGGUCAUUUAGAGGAAGUAAAAGUUGUAACAAGGUCUCCGUUGGUGAACCAGCGGA
rnacentral:rRNA from 1 species